UGUUUAAGAAAGAAGACUGGCGAGCUGCCUGCCCUCCCCUGGGAGCAUCAUUCUCCAGGUGUCAUCAAUUCUAAUUUCAUAGUGAGCUGUGACAGCUUAAUGCCUCGGGACUGAAUUGCUGAGAAGUUGCAGUCUGAUGGAUGGCCAGAGAGGUGCUGAAACCUGAGGACUUGACCAUGCCAUGUACCCCAGCUCAGGUUAAACUUCCCUGGAUACUAAUGGAGGCAUAUAAACAGAAAACAAUCAUGAAGCAUGCUAGUUUGGCAGAACAGCCUUGCCGAGGAACAAGACUGAGCUGUGGAGAAGCCUGGCUUUGUGUUUUGGGCUCCUGAUGCUGCAGGGAAACGCACCAGCAGCUGUGUCGGGCCCAGCGACCAGCAGCACCUCGAGUAGACUCUCAUCUGCAAAGAACUCGCCACCCCCUCUGUCCCCACCAUGGCAGCACAGGGUGAUUUCGCCGCAGGUGGAGGGCUGCAGCAGAAUGGAGACUUCUUCAGCCAGCACUUCUUGCAGUCUCGUUCCUGCAGCCUUUGCCUGGAGGACAUUUGCCUGCAGCGAUGGUGCCGAUGCCCAGGAAUACUGCUGGGCUCAGGGAGACAGAGCAUGUACAAAAGCUGCAUUCAAAGUGUUGAUCGUGAGACCUGGGAGACGCUGGCAAGUGCAGCAGCAGCUAUUCUUCAUGCCGUGCAAGUGAGAGCCCAGUCUUGGAGGCUGGGGAAUAGGGAAGAGAUUGGCCAGGACAAGGGACAGGGAAAUAUGCUGUGUAUAAUUUUGAAUUUUCAGGAACAGCCAAGAUCAGAAAUUUUUUGAUGCAGAUCAUGUUUGUGUUCUGUUUG